CUUCAUCUCCGAGAACUUGAGUGAGUACUGCCAGCCAGUCCAGGAGGACCACUCGACGCCGUCGGCGUAGGAGGCGUGUGCGCCGCGCAGAUCUCACUUCCUCAGGAAGACUGCCUGCCCUCCUGUCGAAGUGGAGGACCUCUGCCAACCCAGGUGCCCCCUGUUGGUGUUUAUCAUUCUGAUUCCAGCUGCCUAUUUCCGUGUCGGGCUCCCCCCUCCACCAAUGUGGAAGCUCCAUGUGAUCAGCAUGACUGUCCCGCUCACUGUGGAACCCUAGCAUCUGAGAGGCAGCACUCGCCCCCACCGCCUCCAUCUGUGCCCGCGUCUGAGGUGUUAGAGGUUUGGCCGCGGCACCAGCAGAGCCGCCCGAUCCAUUACUAAGCAGCCCGACUUCAGCCGCCCGGAACCGCCCUGUGCGGCGUCUGCCUGCAGCUCCGGGAGACAGAAGCUCGGACACUGGCCAGAAGUCAGGCAGCUAUGAGUGGACAGUCUGACUCACCCCUCACUCCGUAGCCUGAGGCCGUGCUGGACACCCAGAUGUCCGCAUCUCACCACCCACGUCCAUGUGCUCAUUUGCCACCCACCAGGGGUGUCCCAAACCUGCCCCCUUGUCUCCUUCCCAGGCCUCUCAGGCCAAGAGCUGAUCUCUCAGCAUCCCCCGUCUUCAGCCCUCCUUUCCUGCUACUUUUCCAGGCUGGGUGCCAGUAGCAAGCAGGGCCCCGGCUACAGCUCGGUCUGGGUGAAUGAUCAGACGUGGUGAGCACACAUUCAAGGCCACUGGGGCCUCCCGGCCUCUCUCCUCCACCUGGGAAGCACCUGCCGUCGCUGAGAGUAGCAGACGUCUUAACAAUUUGGCUCCAAUCCGCCGCAGCUCAGAGGUCAGAGCAUCAUUUGCCAACACGGGCACUCUUCCAAGUGGUAACAAACCAUGACCGACCCCUUCCAGGGCUGAGACACAGCCCUGCUGCAGUUCCAAAGAAGUGGCUUUUAGACUCUCGGACUGUGACCCAGGGAAAUGCAGUUGACAUCCUGACUUGCAUACUCACAGCUUUUUGUAUCUGAAACAAAAGCUUUCCGAAAUGAUAUUUGUCCUUCAGAUGGAUGGGCGUUAAUAUUUUCCAUC